UUGUCUUCUCAUGUUUUCAGGAUGUGCAGAAGAGGUGCAGUAUCUGGAGGAAAUACAGAGGAACACAACCCAGCGUGUGGUGGGAGGGGUGGCAGCUGUCCCCUACUCCUGGCCUUGGCAGGUCUCAUUGCGGGUUUUCUACAGUGACUGGUCGGCACACAUCUGUGGAGGAACUUUGAUUCACAGCCGCUGGGUUCUGACGGCUGCCCACUGCGUCCGAAGCGGAGUGUCUGUGGUUGCAGUUGUGGGAGAACACAAUAUU